GGCAGGGGUGCACGAGUGGGUGAGGGGUGCAGGCUCUGGGCGACACUUACCAUGAGGGGCUCCCCGGAAGCAGCAACAUGUUCCUAGGCAGAGGCACAGUCAGGCAGCUCUGUGUGCUUUCUCUGCCCACAGGCAUUGCCCCAGAAGCUCCCGUUGGCUGUGGUUCCCGGCCAAUGGGAGGUGCAGAGCUGGUGUUCGGGGCGGGGGCAGCAUGUGGAGCCCCCUGGCUGUGUCCUCGCCUAGGAGCCAAGGGACAUGUUGCCACUUCCAGGGAGCCACACAGAGCCAUGUAGCGAGCCUGCCAGACCCCCAACUGGACUUUUCUCUGCUGACUGGAGCCACCAGGGUCCCUUUUCGACCAGGUGUGCUGGUCAAAAACCGGACACCUGGCAACUCAAGCUGUCCCUGGUCGGGCUAGUGUGUGCAAGAUGGAGACCUCUGCAUGGAAGGGACUCCUGUCUGGGAGCGUGCAAGCUGCUUGCACACACUAGCGUGACCAGGGACACCUGCCAGUGAGCCUGGGGCCCUCCUCAGUAGGCAGGGCUAGAGUCAAGCUCUUUAUGAUGGAAGCUAACUCCUUAGGGUUAAGGCAUGCCCCUCCUGUGCUGCUUCUGUGUCCCUCAAUGGUGGACACUCUUUUUCCAGUUGGAUUUAGAAGUCUAGAGAUGCCCGAAUACAGUUACUAUUUCUGAAAUGCUCUGACACCUUCCUUGGGCAUGGAGGAGAAUGUAGCUAAGGCCUAGUCUUCCCUCCAGUCCCUUCUGGCUGGUGUCCCCGCGAGCCAGGAUUCCACCUUGAGCUCCAGGGCUGAGAUGUCUGAGGUCCCAGUUGCCAACUUCAGUCCAUAUGUUGACUUCUUUAAGCAGGUUUAGGAAGGAGCAUCACUCCAGAGAUGAGCCUACACAUGUAGAUCCCCCCCCUCCAGGACCUUUAGGCUGAGACCCAAGAAUUGACAUGUUUGGCUGCAAAGCUUACGACUAGUCUAUGGGCAGCCAGUAGUCUAAGAUGGGUCCCUUUGGCGCCUUAUUACUGGCCAUGAAAAAAAUUGCUUGUACUGGCUAAAUCCACUGACUGCCUUUUCUCUGACACACCUCUUUGGCACUCUUGGUAGCCGGCAUGUCAGUACUGUUGUUUUCGGUACCUGUGGCCUAUUUUGCACCAACAGACCUGUCUGUAGGCCUGAUACAGCUAUGCUUUAUGUCAACAGACAGGGUGGGGCCAGGUCAUCUCUGCUCUGUCAGGCCAUUUGGCUGUUGACUUGCUGCAUAUUUGUCACUGGUUCAUAUCACUAGCCCUUGCAGACAUUCAGACAGAACUUACUAGUAGAUCACCUCAGCAAGCAGUUCACAGACAACCAUGUGUGGUCAGUUAAGGACCCGGUGUUGCAGAGCAUCUUUUGCAAGGGGGGAUACCAAUCAAUAGCAUAUUUGCCACAGACCAGAACAAGAAAUCCCAAGUGUUCUGCUCCAGAGAAGGCUCCAAUCCAGGAUGCUUUUCUUACCCUCUGUACACAGGGACUGAUAUAUGCUUUGCCCCUGGUUCCUGUGAGACCGAGGGUCCUGAGGAAAAUGAGUCAAGAUGCUGGACUGAUUAUCAUGAUGGGCCAAGCAGUUCUGGUAUUCGGAUCUGAUGAACUAUUCAGUGCAGCCCCCGAUCUCUUACCUGCUGAGUCUGACAUUGUCACACAAAACAUCCCGGGAGGCUAGAUCCACCCCUAGACCCAGUCUACUUAUGUUUGACAGCCUGGAUGCUGGCUGGCUGAUGUACACCAUAAGGUGUUCUCCUGAGGGUCAGAACAUUCUGCUCCAAAGCAGAAAAGCCUCAGCUAGAAUGACUGACUUAUAAAACCAAGUGGUGGUUUUCUGUUUGGACAUCUGAGCACCCAUUUCAUUUCACUGGACACCCAUUUCAACAAUACAGAACUAUUUACUAUCAGAAACAUUCUGGGCUUUUUGUCAGCCCCAUAUGGAUCUACCUAGCAAUAAUAUCUCUAUUCUGGGGCUUUCUGUUAGCUCCAUAAAGAUCUAUCUAGCAGUAAAAUCUGCAUGUCAGGCCAUACUGUAUUUUCUCACCCUAUACUGGCUAUGUUCCUUAAGGACUUUAUUCAUGCUUUUUCACCCAAUUCAGGAGCCUGCCCUGGGACCUUCCUCUUGGGAUCUCAAUAUAGUAUUAACAAGGUUGAUCGUUCCCCACUUUGAACCUUGUAUACCGUCUAUCACUGAAGACUGCCUUUUUAGUAGUCAUUACAUCAGCUUGAGUAGGGGAGAUGCAGUCUUUUGUGGGGGGCUUCCCCUUAUAUACACAGUUUCAUAAGGACAGGCUUACUCUGAGGCCUCAUCCCAAGUUCCUGCCCAAAGUAGUUUUGGAAUUCCAUAUGAAGCAAUUUAUUCAUCACCAAGUUUCCUUCCCAAGCCUCACUCAAUCCCCUGGGAAGUUAAACUUCAUAUGCUUGAUGUAUUAAGGGCAUUGUCAUACUACUUUCACAAGACAACAACUUUCAGGAACACACCUAGCCAGUUUGUGAUCUUUGGUGAUAGGAUUAAGGGUCAGGCAAUAACCUCCCAUUGAUUAUCAAAAUGGGCGUUCACCUGUAUAAGGACAGAUUUAUACGAGCUGAGAAGAAACCGGAGUAUAGGUAGACUAGAUCCACCUAGCCACAUUAGAGCUCAUUCCACUACUGCUCAGGCAGCUUCUGCUGCCUUUGUUUGAAGAAUGUACCAGUAGUCAAAUCUGCAGCACAGCUAUGUGGUACUUGGUCCACACAAACAACGAGGAGUGCGGUGGCACUUUAAAGACUAACUGAUUUAUUUGGGCAUAUGCUUUUGUGAGUAAAAAAAACCACGAAAGCUUAUGCCCAAAUAAAUCUGUUAGUCUUUAAGGUACCACCGGACUCCUCGUUUUUGUGGUUACAGACUAACAUGGCUACCCCUCUGAUACUUGGUCCACGCAAUUUCAAGACACUGUUCUUUAGUAGAGGCUUCCAGAUCGCAUUCCUGUUUUGGUAGAGCUGUCCUGCUAUUCACACUACACGUCCAUCUUCAAAAGGACUUGGCUGUUGGCAAUAAGAAAUGAGGCAGUUGUGGGAUUCACUGCCUCUUGUCACCUCAGCUCCUGAGCAUUUGUUGCUGUGAGUGGAUACUUGUGUAGUCCCAGUGGGUGCUGUUUUUCUAGCAGGUUCUUGGUCAGCUAUACCAGGGGAUUAUCUAGCGACAGUUCCAUUAUUUUACUGACUUCCUCCUAAAAAGGGUGUUUAUAAUGAGGCCUUGUAAACAUAAGCUGGGGCAACACCAGACGUCCAGCACUUGAUCUGCAGUAACACUCCCAUAUGAUAUAAUCAUGUAUGGAUUCAGUAAAACUUAUGAUCUGCGUUAUACGAAUAUCUGUGAAGCCCAGAGCCCUAGCGUAUUUCUGUAUAUUACCAAUUACCAGUCUGAAAAAAAAUCUUAAAAUUAGUUUAAAAUUUAAAUUGUUUUUUUUUUCUGUAGAAUGUUCUAUUCUCAACUUUAGAAAUGUGUAAAAGUUUUUUGCGGUAAUAUAUUUUUAUAUACAAAAUAUUUAAAUAUUUGUACAUUUCCCCCCAUUCUUAACAUGCAGGUGAAACCAUCUCAGCUUGUUAAUUAUUUACAGCAGAAGAAAACUGAAGGCUACACCAUCAUAGGUGUGGAGCAAACUGCUAAAAGUUCUGACUUGACUGAAUACUGCUUUCCAGAGAAAUCCUUGUUAUUGCUGGGAAAUGAACAUGAGGGAAUCCCAGCAAACCUGAUUCAACAUCUGGAUGUUUGUGUGGAAAUUCCUCAGCAGGGUAUCAUUCGAUCACUGAAUGUUCAUGUAAGUGGAGCACUGCUGAUUUGGGAGUAUACAAGGCAACAACUGAUCAAGCAAAAACAACUGAAAUAACUGCAAGAGUCUUGUGCCUUAUUUGUAAUGCAGCUGGAUGGCUUUUUAUGGUGCUGUAAAAUAUGUUUUUAAACACAUGGAAUAAUUACAGACUCAGGGUGAAUGACUAUGUUUUUAAAUUUUGCAUGUCAUACAACGGUAUUAUGUAGUACAAAAAUUGUUUUUAAAUGCCUUAACGUGUAUUAUCUGAUUGUAUACAACUGUUUUAUUGGUAAUAAAUAGUCUUAUUUGUAUAGUG